UCUCUUGGACACUGACGGGUCUCGACACGCAAAUUCUGCUCCUGGCGUUGGCCGUCAGUGGAAGAGCGUAGCUUCGGUGGGGUUCUGUCUGCCUCUGAUGGGGUGCGGAUGUGUGGUUCGUCACUGGUGAAUGGUGUUCGACGAUGCAGGUGGAUUUUGUGACGAGCGGAUUUACAAUGAGGGAAUGCUGUGAACGGGAAAAAUGAUGAUUGACCAAAGGAGCAUUAGUGGAAAAAAACAGUGUAGCCCUGAGACAAUAGGAUGAUGUCUGGACCAAUGAGAACUGCCAGCAGGGGGCGCAGGAAUGCUCUUCUCACUUAGCCUCACGACCAAUGAGAACUGCCAGCAGGGGGCGCAGGAAUGCUCUUCUCACUUAGCCUCACGACCAAUGAGCAACGAGAGAAGAGGGCGCAGGAAUGCUCUUCUCUCUUAGCCUCUCGCAGGUGGCGGUAGGAGCGCGCAGAGGGCGCUACGAGCGCGCGCAUGCGUAGCACCCGUAGAGUGGCGCUUACGUCAGUCCACCUCUGGCUCUCGUUGGGAGAAGACGUGUGGUCGUUCGCUCCGUCGUCACUUGAUCCCUGGCUGUCGACGAGAGCAGUCGCAUCGGUCUGCGCUCCUACUGUGGUGAGGUGAUUUGUUGUGUAACUAAUGCUUUCGCCAACUUUGUUCCCGCUUUGUUUGCGAUUUUCGUGCCCGUGCACGUCGGGUGCUGGUUGCUGUUGUCCGGGCAUUCCCGCCAUUUUCUAUCAUCUUCUGCCUUGGGAACGGGAGUAGCGCUGGCGUGAUUCUUAAUAAUUUUGUUGUGAGAUUAGUUGAGAAAGUAACCGCUAGGGGAUGCAGCUGCGGGGCUUUAUACAGCAGAAAAACCAUUACGAGUCAGUUCUCUGCCUGCCUCUCGGAUGGAGCAGUCGCAUCGUUCUGCGCUCCUGUUGUGGUGGGAUCAUUUGUUGUGUAACUAAUUGUUUUUUCUUGUUAGCUAUUGAUGGUUUGCAUACUCUUGCUUUCCCAGCCUCUGUAUUACGAGUGUUUUUCUCCUUGCAUGUCCAGAGCUGUCCUAACCUGCCCAGACAUGCCAUGAUGACGUCACAGCUGACGUCACAGGAUGUGCGGAACUGGUGCUGCGAUGCUUUGCAACCUGCCUCAGUGCUCCGUCGCCCAGCGGCCUUUCCGGGCCGCUUUCUUCAAGAUGAUGUCGUUGAUCUUCAACUAAACUCCUUCUCUCCA